GGAGGGACAAGAUGUGCACCAAAGAGUGAUGGAGGAGGCAAGCGGGACCCUGUGAGAAGCUGGGUCAGUGCAUGGUGCUGGAGGGAAGAUUUGACUGGUGGCUAUGUGACUAUAUUACGGCUUGGUCGUGGGGUGUGGGACACAGGCUCAGAGGGGCUAAGCUGCAUGCUGAUGAACUGGCUGAGAAGGUGCCCUGUGAGCCAUCUUUGGAAGUGGAUGAGCAUUAGAGGUGAGCUGAGGCAGCAGCGAGGAGGAGCUUGGGGCUGGUGACUUCUCACAUGUGCAACAGUAAUUUUGUUUCUUGGUAUCUCAAGCAAUGAUGGCCACAGCAUCUGACUCUGGAAUGAGCAGAUGAUGAAGAGGAACUUGGUGACUACAGGAAUGUCCCAGACAGUUGAUGUGCUGGGUUUUUUUUCGUUGACGUGGGAUUUAAGACCUCCAGCCCUCUGAAAGCUAAGUUGAGUGCCCAGGGCUGGGGAGGGUUUGGAAGGAGGGGAGAAGUUUGGGAGUUGCAGGGAGGCAUCUUAAAGUUAGAGAAGGGCAGAGGGCUGUCCUGGCGCAGUCCCCUUUGAGCAGGUAAAGGGAGUGUGUUAGUCUUCGGCACAAUGCUAGCACGAACCGGGCAGGGCAGUUCCAGCCUGUGUCUGUUGUGGUGUUUGUGUGGUCUGUCUUCUGUGUCUUAAACCUUCCUUGGGUCGCAAUGUCCUCUUUACACUUGAGGAGCACAGCCUGUGCUUCAGGCACCAUCCCUAGAAUCUUGAAUGCCUGUACUCAUUGGCAUUGCCCCAGUUGGGUGCUGCUUUUCUUGCAUUAUAAGCUUAAAGCAUGGAUCGGUCUUGCAUCUCAGAAGUUUCUGGAUGGUCCUCAUUUGCAGCAUUGUUCCUGGUUGCGUGAGCAUCUCUGUUCUCUAGCCAUCCAUUUUCAGUGACUGGGACUUCUUCCCUGCAUCCUUAAGUUCUUAGGUCUUGAAGCCAGGCUUCCUGCACAUACAUCUUCUCGGUUUUAGAGUCACUUGUUGUCCUGGGCCAUUACAUUGUACUCAUUUCCUGGAGUUUCCCUAGAGCCUUCUUGCGUCACCAUCAUGGUCCCACAGGUCUUCUUGCCUAACAAUCACUUACGCCUCAGUGUCAUCCUUCUUGCUGAGAGUUUUCUCUCAUCUGUGAGGUGCAUUGUUUGUAGUAUUCUGCGUCGUGUUGGUCUGUGCUUGUGUGCGUUUGGCUCAGAGCUGCUCUGCCUGGUCAUGUAGAGUCAGGGGUAGGUGGAACAGCAAAAGAGUCUGUGGCUAAUAUGUUGAUAUUAGCCAUAUGUCUAUGACCGAGGCAAAGGUGGUACAGUCAACUGCCAUCAAGUAGCCAUCAGCAGGUUGUGUGGGCAGCUCUUGAAUUAGCGGGAUUUUUUGGGGAUGAGCAGAGCUAUGUGGGAGGGGCUGUUCAGCAGUAGUGAAGCAGACUGCAUCUCGAAGAUGUUAAGGCUGCUUUGUGUGGGGUGUAAUGUUUGCGUGUUGGGUUUUUUUUUUUUAAUGGCAGGUUGUAGUUGUACUCUGGAUGGUAUUUCUAAGCCAAAACAAGACC